rnacentral:rRNA from 1 species
AUCGUUUAUUUGAUAGUACCUUACUACUUGGAUAACCGUGGUAAUUCUAGAGCUAAUACAUGCUAAAAACCCCGACUUCGGGAGGGGUGUAUUUAUUAGAUAAAAAACCAAUGCCCUUCGGGGCUCUUUGGUGAUUCAUGAUAACUUAACGGAUCGCAUGGCCUUGCGCCGGCGACGGUUCAUUCAAAUUUCUGCCCUAUCAACUUUCGAUGGUAAGGUAUUGGCUUACCAUGGUUUCAACGGGUAACGGGGAAUUAGGGUUCGAUUCCGGAGAGGGAGCCUGAGAAACGGCUACCACAUCCAAGGAAGGCAGCAGGCGCGCAAAUUACCCAAUCCCGACACGGGGAGGUAGUGACAAUAAAUACUGAUACAGGGCUCUUUUGGGUCUUGUAAUUGGAAUGAGUACAAUUUAAACCCCUUAACGAGGAACAAUUGGAGGGCAAGUCUGGUGCCAGCAGCCGCGGUAAUUCCAGCUCCAAUAGCGUAUAUUAAAGUUGUUGCAGUUAAAAAGCUCGUAGUUGAACCUUGGGCCUGGCUGGCCGGUCCGCCUCACCGCGUGCACUGGUCCGGCCGGGCCUUUCCUUCUGGAGAGCCCCAUGCCCUUCACUGGGUGUGCGGGGGAACCAGGACUUUUACUUUGAAAAAAUUAGAGUGUUCAAAGCAGGCCUUUGCUCGAAUACAUUAGCAUGGAAUAAUAAAAUAGGACGUGCGGUCCUAUUUUGUUGGUUUCUAGGACCGCCGUAAUGAUUAAUAGGGAUAGUCGGGGGCAUCCGUAUUCAAUUGUCAGAGGUGAAAUUCUUGGAUUUAUUGAAGACGAACUACUGCGAAAGCAUUUGCCAAGGAUGUUUUCAUUAAUCAGUGAACGAAAGUUAGGGGAUCGAAGACGAUCAGAUACCGUCGUAGUCUUAACCGUAA